rnacentral:piRNA from 1 species
GUUAGACCAAAUGGGGACGGGGA